rnacentral:rRNA from 1 species
GACGAACGCUGGCGGCGUGCCUAAUACAUGCAAGUAGAACGCUGAAGGAGGAGCUUGCUUCUCUGGAUGAGUUGCGAACGGGUGAGUAACGCGUAGGUAACCUGCCUGGUAGCGGGGGAUAACUAUUGGAAACGAUAGCUAAUACCGCAUAAGAGUAGAUGUCGCAUGACAUUUGCUUAAAAGGUGCAAUUGCAUCACUACCAGAUGGACCUGCGUUGUAUUAGCUAGUUGGUGAGGUAACGGCUCACCAAGGCAACGAUACAUAGCCGACCUGAGAGGGUGAUCGGCCACACUGGGACUGAGACACGGCCCAGACUCCUACGGGAGGCAGCAGUAGGGAAUCUUCGGCAAUGGACGGAAGUCUGACCGAGCAACGCCGCGUGAGUGAAGAAGGUUUUCGGAUCGUAAAGCUCUGUUGUAAGAGAAGAACGAGUGUGAGAGUGGAAAGUUCGCACUGUGACGGUAUCUUACCAGAAAGGGACGGCUAACUACGUG